CGCGGCGGAGGGCUGGAUCUGAGACGCGCUGGCGGCGGGGAAGUUGGCUGCGGUGGGGUGCCUGGGCUGCGGGCUGGUGCUGUCGGGGUAGCUGCCCCGCGACCCGGGCGCCUCGGGAGGGAAGUGGCGGCCCCGGAAGGCCCCUGCCUUAGAGAGGUCUGGGGCCGUCCAGAGCCCCAAGAGCCGCAGCGUGUCGGCGCGCUGUGAAGCGAGAAGCCCAGCCGCAGCGCGGACCGUCUCCGGAUUGACAACGCCCACACCUGGUGUCCGCGGGAGGCGCCGAACUUGGCGUCCCCAAAGGAGCCCCAGCGAGGAAACCGAGACCCAAAGAGGGAUGAAGAAGUUUGUGGAAUGGCUUGGGAAUGAGAAGACUGAGUUGAGGCCAUGGAAGCUGGGCUGGUCCUUUUGUGGAUGAGGAAAAAUCCACAAUACAUACAUCUGGGGACUUUCCAUAUUGAUGGAAGAAAGUGUUCAGGAUACCUAAGUGAAUCCCAUUGAAGGCAUGU